rnacentral:rRNA from 1 species
CGCAAGCCUGACCCAGCAACACCGUGUGGGCGAUGAAGGCCUUCGGGUCGUAAAGCCCUGUUGAUAGGGACGAAGGGCGAAGGGUUAAUAGCCCCUAGCCUGACGGUACCUUUCGAGGAAGCCCCGGCUAACUACGUGCCAGCAGCCGCGGUAAUACGUAGGGGGCGAGCGUUGUCCGGAAUUAUUGGGCGUAAAGAGCGUGUAGGCUGUUCGGUAAGUCUGCCGUGAAAACCUGAGGCUCAACCUCGGGCGUGCGGUGGAUACUGCCGGGCUAGAGGACGGUAGAGGCGAGUGGAAUUCCCGGUGUAGCGGUGAAAUGCGCAGAUAUCGGGAGGAACACCAGUAGCGAAGGCGGCUCGCUGGGCCGUUCCUGACGCUGAGACGCGAAAGCUAGGGGAGCGAACAGGAUUAGAUACCCUGGUAGUCCUAGCCGUAAACGAUGGACACUAGGUGUGGGGGGAGUCGAAUCCCUCUGUGCCGCAGCUAACGCGUUAAGUGUCCCGCCUGGGGAGUACGGCCGCAAGGCUA